UAUAUAUUUACCUACUUACAUCACAAUCAUUGGUCAUCACAUCCACAGGGCAAUUCUCCUCAAGCAGUGAUCAGGGGUCCAUGGAAGCUGUGGCAGAAGAAAAAAAAGAAGAAUGAGGAACACUGACUCAACUUUCCUGACCUUCCUCUGACUGGGUACUCACUGAUACAGUCCAAGCUCCAGAUGGUUUCAAAAGGACAUUGCAUCAGAUUUCAAGUACUGACUGCUGGAUUCCUCCUCCAAAAUUCACCCUGGAUGAACUAUGAAAGAAAGAGAGAAGCAUGCAUCUGAGAACUUUACAACUAUCACCAUAAAAGAAACAAAAAACCUGUGAGAAACAUACCUGAAGAUUCAUCAUUUAAUGUGGUGGAAAUUGGGAUGUGUUAUUUCUACUGAUACCACUUACAUUCCCCACUCCACCUAGGUAAUUUUGCUUAGCUGGUGUCAAGAAACUAUUGUAGCAUGAAUCUACAAAUAAUUACUGAGCAAUGAAAGAAAACUAUGUUUCUAGUUCAAUUAUAAAUGCUCAAAAUAUGAGAAUCAAAUAAAAU
rnacentral:lncRNA from 1 species